AACGAACGCUGGCGGCAUGCCUAACACAUGCCAGUCGAACGAGACCUUCGGGUCUAGUGGCGCACGGGUGCGUAACGCGUGGGAACCUGCCCUUAGGUUCGGAAUAACUCCCCGAAAGGGGUGCUAAUACCGGAUAAUGUCUUCGGACCAAAGAUUUAUCGCCUUUGGAUGGGCCCGCGUUGGAUUAGCUAGUUGGUAGGGUAAAAGCCUACCAAGGCGACGAUCCAUAGCUGGUCUGAGAGGAUGAUCAGCCACACUGGGACUGAGACACGGCCCAGACUCCUACGGGAGGCAGCAGUGGGGAAUAUUGGACAAUGGGCGAAAGCCUGAUCCAGCAAUGCCGCGUGAGUGAUGAAGGCCUUAGGGUUGUAAAGCUCUUUUACCCGGGAUGAUAAUGACAGUACCGGGAGAAUAAGCUCUGGCUAACUCCGU
rnacentral:rRNA from 1 species